UUUUCAAUGUAUUGGGUGGAGGAGGUAUAGGGAUUACUGAAUGUGAUGUCUGCUGGGGAUUACCUCCCAAGAUAUGAAUGGACUGCCAAAAAUGAUGUCAGCUGGAGAUUUUCCUUGACCCGAAGCACGUGGUUUUCAUUGAAGAAACAAAAUCCAUGAGCAUUCAUAGAAAAAACAAAUGUAUCAGAGAUGCACCCAGUUGUUUUUUUUUUUGUUGAUCUGUGUACAGAAGACGUAAAGGGAGCUGACAGGAUAUGCUUCAUUAUACUUGUUGCAUCUGACAGCUGAUCUUUGGAGGAAGAGGGAGAGCCUUUCCUAUGUUAGGAGUCUGAGUGUGUGGAGAGAGUGUGAGAGCCACUAAGCCACUGGGGCUGAGACAUCCCUGCAGCCAUGUUACGUAUUGCAGACUGUGCUGCCAGCCCUCGUUCAUCUGUUACUGCAGAAAAUGUCCUAAGGGGUAGGAAAGGAGAUGUCAUCUCCUCUGCUCAUAAGCUUGGGAGAGAAAAGGAAAAGGGGGUUGGAAAUCUUCCAAUCUCACUUAGCAGCACCUGUAUGUGGGCUGGGCUGGGCUUGGACAGAGGAGUGCUUCUGCAGAGCCUGCACUCACAGGUGCAGUUGUGAGAAGGGCAAAGAGGGGGACACUAUGCAUUUCCCAAAUGGCUUUUUGAACCGUUGGGAGGCAGCAUGUCAAACUUCUGGGCUGUGAAGCCUAAAAGAUAAUCCCCAAGUAGUGCCUGGAUACUGAACUGGAACAAUGAGAUAAGAGACAAUUAAAUGGGUUGUGGAAAAUACAACUAGAAAAUAUUGGUUAGAUCAUCUAAUUCAUCACCCUUUCAAGGCAGGAUUGUUCUCAAAUGUAUGUUUUUGGUGUGUUGUCCAGUUUUAUUUUAAAGAAGCCCAUUAAAAUGUUUAAACUGAAUAUUAUACUUUCAUUUGGAGUGACUGUAUACUGCAUGAUCGCUGUGACACUGCUGCAUAAUUUAGAUUUCUUGCCAUGCUAUUAAUAAAUGUAGACAAAGACCAGAUGCAAACAAGCUGUAGCUGAGCUCAAGAAUCUGUGAAAGCUAGGCUAACCUCUUUAACAAUAUAACAUAUGGCUGUUACAUUAACACAGCCACUUUUUUUUUUUUUGCUAAAUCUAAGCAAUUUAUUGAAAGCAUGAGGAAAAAACUAAGAACAGAAAUAAAGCAUGACCUCUGAUCUGAAGUCUUCCCCUUUGACAGUUUCACCAUUUAGUAUAAAUUGAUGGGAAUAUAUAUCCAACCUACUGUUACGAUUUUAUAGUCUACACUUUUGUUUCUCUUGGUGGCUCCUUUUUCAUUCUUUUCUACAUUUAAGUCAUAGAAGAAUUUAAGGAAAAGCAUGUAUAAACCU